AACGCACAUUGCGCCCGCCAGAAUUCUGGCGGGCAUGCCUGUUCGAGCGUCAUUUCAACCCUCGAGCUCCCCUCUUUUUGGGAGGGCCCGGCGUUGGGGACCCGGCGCUAACACCGCCGGCCCCGAAAUGGAGUGGCGGCCCGUCCGCGGCGACCUCUGCGUAGUAAUACCCCCUCGCCCCGGGCCCCGGGCGCGGCCACGCCGUUAAACACCCCACCUUCCGAAUGUUGACCUCGUAUCAGGUGGGGAUACCCGCUGAACUUAA
rnacentral:misc_RNA from 1 species